GAGCAUGUGGUUUAAUUCGAUGCAACGCGAAGAACCUUACCUGGUCUUGACAUCCACAGAACUUAGCAGAGAUGCUUUGGUGCCUUCGGGAACUGUGAGACAGGUGCUGCAUGGCUGUCGUCAGCUCGUGUUGUGAAAUGUUGGGUUAAGUCCCGCAACGAGCGCAACCCUUAUCCUUUGUUGCCAGCGGUCAGGCCGGGAACUCAAAGGAGACUGCCAGUGAUAAACUGGAGGAAGGUGGGGAUGACGUCAAGUCAUCAUGGCCCUUACGACCAGGGCUACACACGUGCUACAAUGGCAUAUACAAAGAGAAGCGACCUCGCGAGAGCAAGCGGACCUCAUAAAGUAUGUCGUAGUCCGGAUUGGAGUCUGCAACUCGACUCCAUGAAGUCGGAAUCGCUAGUAAUCGUAGAUCAGAAUGCUACGGUGAAUACGUUCCCGGGCCUUGUACACACCGCCCGUCACACCAUGGGAGUGGGUUGCAAAAGAAGUAGGUAGCUUAACCUUCGGGAGGGCGCUUACCACUUUGUGAUUCAUGACUGGGGUGAAGUCGUAACAAGGUAACCGUAGGGGAACCUGCGGUUGGAUCACCUCCUUA
rnacentral:rRNA from 1 species